UACGAAGGGAGCUAGCGUUGUUCGGAAUCACUGGGCGUAAAGCGCACGUAGGCGGAUUUGUAAGUCAGGGGUGAAAUCCCGGGGCUCAACCUCGGAACUGCCUUUGAUACUGCGGAUCUCGAGUCCGAUAGAGGUGGGUGGAAUUCCUAGUGUAGAGGUGAAAUUCGUAGAUAUUAGGAAGAACACCGGUGGCGAAGGCGGCUAACUGGUCCGGUACUGACGCUGAGGUGCGAAAGCGUGGGGAGCAAACAGG
rnacentral:rRNA from 1 species